GCUGGGGGCUCAAAGUCCGUGAGAGAGACAGGCAUUGCGUGCGCUAACAGCCAAUCUACGAUUCUGGCAUCGCCGCAUCGAGCACUCCUGGGGCAUCGUCGCCCAUCGCAGAUCGCCGGCGAUUGGUCCUCGGCAGCGACGGCGAAUCGCCAACGGCGCACUGGCCUGCGCACACUCAUCGGCAAAUCGGCUUCACGGCGGCAAUUGCAACAGCGAACCCAUCAAAACUUGGCAGUGCUAGUUGGCACAAAAGAGGCGCUAGAGAAUGAAGUUAUAUGUGUGAAAGAUGAAGAACAAGCGUGGUGAUUUGAAUGAGAUUGGAAACGCUUGUACGACAGAGCUUCAAAGGCACACAAGGUAACUUCGACCACAAUGCCGACAGGGAAGUCUCUUUGAGGUUGAAGAUCAAAAUAUGAUAGAUUAGUGCCUCAGGAGACGGCAAAGGAUGCCUUUUGCAGAGAAGGCCACAAGAGGAUGUGUGGACCAUAAGAAGCAGCUGCCAACUUGCAGGGAGUCAUCACUAUGGCUGCUUCAUUCUGCGCAGCACUCGACUGGCAGCUCUGGCCCAUGACCAGCACGAUGCUACCGGGCACCAUCUUCGGAACCGGAUCCACCUGCAGAUCUCCAGGGUAGCCCUCCUCUCCGAUGACAGGGAAUCAUAUAGGUCGCUUGAGAGCAGCGGCCAAUCUUCGAUCUGACGGAGGUGGGUGACCAGACGGGGCACAUCAUAGAGGCAUAACAUAAUAGCAAAACUGUCAGAAAUUGCAGUGCAAAUAACAAAAUUGUCAAGGUGAGUUUCAUGCAAUGGCAUAACAAAUAUACUUAAAGCCUUCGAACAACAAUAAUUUGAGGAUUCAUUGAAGUGGAUAACAACUUUACCUUAUUACCUGCGCCAUUUAUAUUCUGUUUCACGAGUAUCCAACAGUGGAAGUGCGGCAAGGUGCUUUAAUCUAAAGGGCAGGUCCUGUGUUUUAAAGAUCAAAUAACAGCAUACCAAGCACUACACUUCAGAAACAAUUGCUCAGAAACAGGCAAUAUGUUGAGUACAAAAACCGAACAUUUUUUUUCUGCCAACACGAUUCUUAGUAGUCAUUCCAUUUGAAGAAGAAAAAGCUUACAAGGCCGUCUCGCCACUCUAAAACAAGAACAGUAAAAACUUGAACAAGAAUAACAAAAAGACACACGAGAAAAAUGCUCUAAGAGAAGCCAUCUGCCAGCAGGCAACAUGUCCAAUGGCCUUGAGCUUAUCUUGCAUUAUCCUCUGAUUUUCUCCAUCAGUACCAGAACGUCUAGUUCCAUAAAACAGUCAAUCAUUACAGUGUUUCCAGAGCAUACGUGGAUUUGAGGUGGUUGAUGGCAUUUAAUCCCCACUUAGUGGAAAAUGGCAGUCAGAGAACCAAUCACUAUCUUGUGUAAGCCCUUCUGGUUAUAGACUUGAGGUCUGCUGAACUCCAUAUGCUGGGUCACCUCAAAGAGAAAAGGGCAUGGAAACUGAAUCUUAAGCAUGGCCAAUUUCAGCAGGAGGCAUGUAUGUUGCUUCUUCUGCAACCAAUAAAGAGAUUAUCGGGCCAAUAUGAAGUUAACUUCAAUCAGCUGGCCAGUUGAGGUAACCUGCCAGACCUCGGUGACAAGAACUUCAGCAACCAGUUAGACAUGUUGUCUCAAUUAAGCUAAAUGCUAUAGAGACCAGGAUGGUCGUUGAGUCAGUUUUCUUCAGUAGAAACGUUACGAAUGUCGUUGUAUGAAACCACAGUUCCUGACAUCCAUACAUAAAACAUUUGGCAGCCAUAACAUUGUUAUUUGUUCUCUUUUGUCACUUUAGUUCUGCAUCUUGCCGGUUAUCCACUGAAUAUGAAACUCUUUGCAGCAAGUUCUAUCUUCAGACAUAGAAGAACCCAAAGAUAACAGAGGUAAGUAUGACUUGCUCAGUCCUUGACAUCCCAUGCUAUUGUUUAGACUGAGUACCAAUGGGCUAAAUUUUGAGGGCUCACAGUCAGCGGUACCUAUUUUAAGUUGCAGAGGAGUGAUGACCUUCUUUUUGUUGAUGAGGAUUACAUUGUGCAUCUGUCAACUGUUAAGAUACCAAAGAUCAUCUAUAGUAUCAUUGUGCA